AGAAUUGUCCACCUUAAAAUAAUCCAUUACACCCUUAAGGCCUUGGUAAUUAAAAACAAAUUAAUUAAAAAAAAACUGCUAUCCCAAUUCAAUUAGUAACCGAAAACACUCUGAACCGAAAACACUCAGAAAAUCAAACCCUUCGAAUCUCUCUCCAAAUAUUCAAAAACCCUCAUUCAAUCACCCCUAAAUUGCAGAAUUUCGAAAUCCUUCCUUCAACCACCCCUAAAUUGCUCAUUCAAUCACCCUUCAUUCAAUCGUUAAUGGAUAUCCCUCAAUCAAUCACCCCUAAAUGGCAGGAUUUUGUAAACCCUACCCGAAAAUUUCUGCUUAUUCAAUUGCAUUGCAAUGUUUAAAUUCCAACUUCAAGAAUAUCGAUUUCAAGCAUAUUCAUCAAAUUGCGGUCAAAGAUCGGAACUAAUAGGGGUUGGAAAUUAAUUUCUGUAUUCGACGGAGAAAUUGGAGAUGCACCGCUGUUUCUUCACCAACAUUGGAAACCGGAAACUCUGAUUUUCCGACGACUAGGAAGCUGUGGCGAAAUCAGUUAAUAUUCUGAAGAAUCAUGCGUUUGAAUGGUGCCUGGAUUUUCUAUAGAACAUACGGCCAUGGACACGUGAAAGUUCUUCUUAUAAUUGGUUUAGCUGGGAUACAUGAUUCACGGGGCCUCAAAUCAGAGGGUUGGCUGGGACUGAGGUACCCAAUGAUGAUGAAUCAACGGUGGUCGGUUGAUGAUGCGAAUGCAGGGAAUGGGAGUAUGGAGGUUUGUGCAGGGAACGGGUCUGGAGCUUGGCUCCUAUGAAAGGUCCGAGUAUACGUAAUUUUUUUACAAGAAUGGUUAUUUUUUUUUAUUGAAUUUGAUGUUUAUUUGUGGAAUUGUUGAACAAUUUUGAAUUAUGAGAUGAACUCACAUUAGGAGGUGGUAGUGGUGUCAAACAACAAACUUCAGGCUUCAGAUUCAAAGAUAACUUUAAACCGGUGUCAUAUUAGAGCUGAUUGUCUGAUACAAGUGAAUUUGAUGUGAUUUGAGAUCCAAUACAACAGAAUAGCUGAUUGUCUGCUAGGGUUUAUGCUCGGACAAUGUUUUUAGGUUGAAAUAAGCCCUUGAUUGAACUGAACUGAAUAGUGAGAGAACUACAAUUUUUGCAUUGUGUUUUUUUUGUUAUUGAUCACUAUUCCAAACUUUGGAUUUGUGACUUACACUAAUGUGUUUGAUGCCAAUUUUUAUAUUUUAGUGUCGGCAUUGAACAAAGCUGGGUACCCUGACAUGUAAAUCAUAGUAGGAGAAGUAGGUUGGCCAACUCAUGGUGAUAUACAUACCAAAUCUUUCUGAAUUGUUGGUGGCAGACUGGCAGUUAAAUAGGUUCCGAAUCCGAAUUAGUAAAAACUCGAGUCGGUUCAGUCAGUUUAAGAUAAUAUUUUUUUCUGGGUUUACUUUGUUGCGUUUGUUCUGCUAUUCCUCUUCAAUUUGACGUCUAAUUGGUUGUUGUUUAACCGUGUGCUGCCCCGUUUAAGCUCAACACAGACGCUGCUAUCAAGGAGGGAGUGCUUAAAAUGGGCGUGCAACAGCAAUUUAAAAACUGGAUGUUGCAAACAACCAGAUACCGAGUUUUUAGCUCAGGUUUCUAUGGUUUCAAGGCUAAAACAUGACAAUUUUGUUGAAUUGCUUGGUUAUUGUGUUGAUGGCAACCUACGCAUUCUUGCCUAUGAGUUUGCAUCAAAUGGAUCUCUGCAUAACAUCCUUCACGGUCUACUUAGUUAUCUCCAAGGAGCUGAAUUGGAAGAAGGAAGGAAGCCAGGAUGAUAUCAUUGGAUGUUAAACAGCUACUAGAAGGAAGGUAACAAGUUGUCAUUAAAGAUGGUGCAAGGUGGGGAUCAGGGCCUGCAACAAUGUAAUGCACAAGGGUCUGAUGCUGGCCACUAACAGAUUUUUUGAUUGAUGUAAUUGUUGUGAUUAGUUGAAUAUGAACUUAGAUUGCAAAAGUAACCUAUAGUAUGACCUUCAUGUUUUGGUCUUAUGAACUUUGCGAAUAUUUUCUUGCCUAAUAUUUGUUGUGGUUUGUUGUAAUAAUACUAUUUUAAGUUUUUUAUAUAAUUUCGCACGCAUCGCGUGCAUAUAAGAAUAGUCUCUUAUAUUUACAUCCUUGAGUAUAAAUUAAUAAU